AUAGCGGCAGUUCGGGCAGAGGCUUUGCACAGAGAGGAGCUCUGUUUGUGAGCUCCUCUCUCCUUCUCAGAAUAUGGUUUUUCAUCGCCCGACUGACAUGGGCCUAACCGGGUCUCUCUGAAGUGUUGGAGUGUCUGUGUUCCACCCCUCCACCCACUCAGCCCUAUCUUUGCUGUCAUAUCCUUCCUGGUAGAUAUUUUAUGACAAUUUGCCAUGGCAUGAAGACUGCACAAACUGCAUUACACUAUAUCAAGCCUGGGGCUACCGUAAGAAACAGAGGAGAAAGAAGCAGCAGCCAAGGGAAUCAAUGCCAUAGAACAGGAUUGAAAAUAAAAGAUGAAAAAUCACAUAGGAUAAAUUUCCACGCCAUUCAAUCAAAAGUUUGAAUCUGAAGAUCAAAUGAAGACUAUUCAUCACAGCAUCCUCUAAGUAACACUAUAUUAGGCAAAUUGGAUCUCUUGCAUAUACUGUCUUGAUUUGCAGCACUUAUUUUAAAUUGGAUAAUUUGCUUUUGUA